UCUGUCCGUUUUGGCGAGCCCAGAGGGAGAAAAAAAAUGACAUUUUAAAAGAAGCCUACAUUUAUGGUAGAUAGCUAACGGUACACUACAGAGAAAGUGGGAUAUUUUUACGUUCAUUUCGGAGCAACAGAGGGAAAACAUUUCAGUCGACACAUUAAGUGGAACCAAAGUGAGGAACCAAAAUCUGGGUUCUCAUCCGGUCCGAUACCUACCGGUUGCAUAGGAACCGGUUCCAUAGUGGAACUAGGUUUUGGUACCCAACCC